GGGUCGCCUCUGCUCCCGGUGCUUGGCUAGGACCCGCGAGGCUCUACCGCCCCAGAGAGAGUCUCUCCUGGUGGGGAGCGGCGGCCCCGGGAGGGGAGGUAGUGGCCCGAGGGGCUGGAGCCGAUUUUUUCCACUGGAAUUCCUACUGCAGAGAAGAGAAAGAAGGUGCGACUUUUUAAGUGAAGGAUAAGAAAGUUAUACCAAAAGCAGCUGCAGUAAGGAAUCCAAUUCUCGAGGUCAUACCAGGUCGUCACAGUCUGUAUCCUGUUCCGGCUCAUCACCAUGCCUGUGUGACAAUCGGCCACUCUUGGGGAGCUCAGACUUCACCUCUGCCUCUUGAUCCUGCUGGGGUCCCGCACAACACAGUCCAUGAACACUGCAUCAUCCUUGGUUCCGUGAUGCCCAGUGGAUCCUGUCAUCACCUGAAUAUUACCAAGUAAACAGAACACCA
rnacentral:lncRNA from 1 species